UACGAGGGGGGCGAGCGUUGUUCGGAAUUAUUGGGCGUAAAGGGUGCGUAGGCGGUUCCGCAAGUCCUGUGUGAAAUCUUCGGGCUCAACUCGAAGUCUGCACGGGAAACUGCGGGGCUUGAGUGUGGGAGAGGUGAGUGGAAUUCCCGGUGUAGCGGUGAAAUACGUAGAUAUCGGGAGGAACACCUGUGGCGAAAGCGGCUCACUGGACCAUAACUGACGCUGAUGCACGAAAGCUGGGGGAGCAAACAGG
rnacentral:rRNA from 1 species